GGUUAAGCGACUAAGCGUACACGGUGGAUGCCCUGGCAGUCAGAGGCGAUGAAGGACGUGCUAAUCUGCGAUAAGCGUCGGUAAGGUGAUAUGAACCGUUAUAACCGGCGAUUUCCGAAUGGGGAAACCCAGUGUGUUUCGACACACUAUCAUUAACUGAAUCCAUAGGUUAAUGAGGCGAACCGGGGGAACUGAAACAUCUAAGUACCCCGAGGAAAAGAAAUCAACCGAGAUUCCCCCAGUAGCGGCGAGCGAACGGGGAGCAGCCCAGAGCCUGAAUCAGUGUGUGUGUUAGUGGAAGCGUCUGGAAAGGCGCGCGAUACAGGGUGACAGCCCCGUACACAAAAAUGCACAUGCUGUGAGCUCGAUGAGUAGGGCGGGACACGUGGUAUCCUGUCUGAAUAUGGGGGGACCAUCCUCCAAGGCUAAAUACUCCUGACUGACCGAUAGUGAACCAGUACCGUGAGGGAAAGGCGAAAAGAACCCCGGCGAGGGGAGUGAAAAAGAACCUGAAACCGUGUACGUACAAGCAGUGGGAGCACGCUUAGGCGUGUGACUGCGUACCUUUUGUAUAAUGGGUCAGCGACUUAUAUUCUGUAGCAAGGUUAACCGAAUAGGGGAGCCGAAGGGAAACCGAGUCUUAACUGGGCGUUAAGUUGCAGGGUAUAGACCCGAAACCCGGUGAUCUAGCCAUGGGCAGGUUGAAGGUUGGGUAACACUAACUGGAGGACCGAACCGACUAAUGUUGAAAAAUUAGCGGAUGACUUGUGGCUGGGGGUGAAAGGCCAAUCAAACCGGGAGAUAGCUGGUUCUCCCCGAAAGCUAUUUAGGUAGCGCCUCGUGAAUUCAUCUCCGGGGGUAGAGCACUGUUUCGGCAAGGGGGUCAUCCCGACUUACCAACCCGAUGCAAACUGCGAAUACCGGAGAAUGUUAUCACGGGAGACACACGGCGGGUGCUAACGUCCGUCGUGAAGAGGGAAACAACCCAGACCGCCAGCUAAGGUCCCAAAGUCAUGGUUAAGUGGGAAACGAUGUGGGAAGGCCCAGACAGCCAGGAUGUUGGCUUAGAAGCAGCCAUCAUUUAAAGAAAGCGUAAUAGCUCACUGGUCGAGUCGGCCUGCGCGGAAGAUGUAACGGGGCUAAACCAUGCACCGAAGCUGCGGCAGCGACGCUUAUGCGUUGUUGGGUAGGGGAGCGUUCUGU
rnacentral:rRNA from 1 species